ACCCCAACUACAGAACAUACUCUUCUCUAGUCAGACCACAACCCACAUCCUGGAGGAGCCCCAGACAGAGCAGCUUGAAAAACACACCAUCUUCUACUCUACCUGGCCGAGAGUCGACCCUCUCUCCACACACCGUGUCCCCUCUCAACAUCCUUUAAAACCCCUUACAAGGCUCAGCCUGACAGAAACUUGUGGCCGACAUCUCUCUUGAUGUCUGGCCCCUCUACUCCCUUAGAGAGUGAAUAAACUCUGUCCUGCUUGUCUGGACAUGCUUUGUGCAAUUCCCUAACAGCUUUGGUGGCCCGUAAGAGGACUGGCCAUUACCUACUGACUGGAAUCCAUCUCAACCAGAUCGCCUUCUCAACUUAUCUCAGAGAGAAAACUGCAGUGCUGCAAAUACAACUGAUUCAGCAUUACAGUAUCUACCAAGUGCAAGCAAUCCCACUCUACGAGAGCACUACAAGCCUUCCAGAACUCAAACUUGUAAGAUAAGGAAACUGAAGCUCUGUCGUUCAUCUAAAGUUUCACCUAGGACCGGCUAAAGUUAACAGCAAAUAAUAGUUAAUUUGGAAGAAGAUGAUUAGAGAAGUUGAUGGGACCUUUACUUUAAGGGUAAAGGAAUUUGCAAUCCCUGUCAAAAUAUCACCAGCAUUCUUCAGAGAGCUAGAACAAACAAUCCUAAAAUUUGUACGGAACCCCAAAAGACCCCCAAAUAGUCAAAGAAAUCUUGAAAAAGAAAACCAAA